GAACGUUUUCGUAAUAAAUACAUUAUAAAUAAAAUUAUUUUUUGAAUAUACUAAGUAUUCUGUCGGCCAUUAAAAAUCAUCAUGCCUUCAUUUCAAUCAUAUUCACGCAAUUGCAGGGUGAAAAAUGAAAAUGUUGAAAGGAUGCCCCAACAGCAUUAGCUAGAAGCAAAAAAAAAAAAUAACAACAACAACGACAACAAUGGAGAGCGCUUCAACAACAAUGGAGAGCAGAAAGCGAAGCACUAGAAAUGUGCUGACAUGAUGGAAUGGCUGCAUGACGUCUGGCACUGAAUGAGUGCAGUUAUGAUUGAUGUAAUUUUGAUGAAAGUAAUCACAUUUCCAUCCAGCAUUGCGAAGCCCUUUAAAGCCGUUUCACAUUUCAUUGGGAAUUUAUUUGCAAGAAGUUUUAAGUUCGUAAAAAGUUUCAUUCUUGUUAGUCACACAGAAAAACUUUGUUGCGAAAAUGAAAGAAGUUCUACAACUAUAUUUCAUUUCUCCUCCACCCAAACUCAACCAGCUCCAACACUUAUCCAGCCCUUCAACUUCAGAUGCUGGCGCUAUGACAACGGCAAAAUCGGUUGAAAGUCCCAUUGGCAACAACUUUCAAGCACAUCUCACAUGCCAAAUCCAUUUUUUUUUUCAGGCAGCCAUAAUUCCAUUAAUUUGCGUGUUCACAUCAAAUUGGAUUUUCAGUUAAGCCGCAGCUUUUGCUGUUCAGCGAAAAGUUCACUGAGACGAACGAGAUUCAGGGUUUUAGCUUUGACAGCCAGUCAAAUGAACAUUAUAUUUUCAUUCAACUUAAUUUCAUAAUUUGUAUACCCUGCAUACCUGAAAUCUGCAAAAAUAAACGGGCAUAUAUAAAAA